CUACCAAGUCUAUAAGAGCCUGCCUUUCUUAUUUUUACAUGAAUAAAAUGCUUCAUUUGCAAGGAUGCCUCCUAACUGACAAUUUUUUUCCGCUUCACAACUGUGACUUCUCUGUCAUGGUUUUAUAACAAAAAGAUAAAAGGAGUCCACAUAUCCAAUUCCUCAAGUAAUCUUAUUUUUGAUUUCAAGUUUCAGACUGAACAGAAUGAAGAAAGACCACAUCGGGCCAAACAUAGGACCGAAACAUUGUUCUGUGUGUGUGUGUGUGUGUGUGUUGGUUCUACAGGGCUUCAUUGUUUCUGCUGUGUAAACAGAGCACAGCUGCACCACUGGACUCUGCUAACCCGCCACUCCUGGGUUUCCUGAGCAGGCACGGACACACCCUCAGAUGUACACGCUCUCACUGCUUUGCUCAGAUGUGAGUAAGGUCAGCGAGGCUAUUUUUGGAUAAGGCAGCUAAUCACUGCGCUGCAGCCCGCCUAUAAAGCCUGGACACAUGCUCCCGUCCACUCACACUCUGCUGCAUGGAUUAGACGGCACCGAGCUUAUCGCCGUGUUCAGAGAGCGCAAACUCAAACAUUGAAGCAUGAAAAACAGGAGGCUGCUGUUGUCUCUGCCUCUACUGCCCACAAUUACCGAGACGCACGAGGACCUGCCUGUCCAUCCCUCCUCCAUGAAGCAAUCCCAGAGCUCCCACUCUUUGGAGGACUACAUGUCCAGCAUCCAGGCCCUUGCGCGGCCCGUCGAGGAUGCGAGUUACGGCCCCGUCAGACUCCUGAGGUCCCCCAGGCAGCGUCAGCUCUCAAAAGCUGCCCGCGUGUCUCCGCGAACACCGAGGACUUCCAGGGCCUCCAGUCUAAGCACACACAGCUCAGAGGAGUUUUCCCUCAGGAUGAGCAGAGAACAGGACUGCAGGGGCAAAGACCCCAUGGACUGGCUCUUUGGACAGAUAAGAACUUGAAAAGAGACAGCGUUGUUGUUGGACGUCAUGUGGGUACUUUGAUGGAGUGAGAACCUCAGGAUGAAACUGCUCCGCCAUGGCUCAAGAUAAUAGUGCAAAUGUAAUUUAUUUACUCUGUGGUCUAUGUGUU